rnacentral:snRNA from 1 species
AACAAACAGCAUUACAGCAA